CGCGUUGGCCCAAUUGAUUGAUGGUGCUUGCACCUGAUAGAUUUUGGUCGCCAACGAGUGGCGGACGGGUGAGUAACACGUAGGUAACCUGCCCAGAAGCGGGGGACAACAUUUGGAAACAGAUGCUAAUACCGCAUAACAACGUUGUUCGCAUGAACAACGCUUAAAAGAUGGCUUCUCGCUAUCACUUCUGGAUGGACCUGCGGUGCAUUAGCUUGUUGGUGGGGUAACGGCCUACCAAGGCGAUGAUGCAUAGCCGAGUUGAGAGACUGAUCGGCCACAAUGGGACUGAGACACGGCCCAUACUCCUACGGGAGGCAGCAGUAGGGAAUCUUCCACAAUGGGCGCAAGCCUGAUGGAGCAACACCGCGUGAGUGAAGAAGGGUUUCGGCUCGUAAAGCUCUGUUGUUAAAGAAGAACACGUAUGAGAGUAACUGUUCAUACGUUGACGGUAUUUAACCAGAAAGUCACGGCUAACUACGUGCCAGCAGCCGCGGUAAUACGUAGGUGGCAAGCGUUAUCCGGAUUUAUUGGGCGUAAAGAGAGUGCAGGCGGUUUUCUAAGUCUGAUGUGAAAGCCUUCGGCUUAACCGGAGAAGUGCAUCGGAAACUGGAUAACUUGAGUGCAGAAGAGGGUAGUGGAACUCCAUGUGUAGCGGUGGAAUGCGUAGAUAUAUGGAAGAACACCAGUGGCGAAGGCGGCUACCUGGUCUGCAACUGACGCUGAGACUCGAAAGCAUGGGUAGCGAACAGGAUUAGAUACCCUGGUAGUCCAUGCCGUAAACGAUGAGUGCUAGGUGUUGGAGGGUUUCCGNCCUUCAGUGCCGGAGCUAACGCAUUAAGCACUCCGCCUGGGGAGUACGACCGCAA
rnacentral:rRNA from 1 species